AUGAAAGAGGCGAUCAGAAUGGUACCCGAAUCCAUUUACGAUCCCGAGUUUCCAGACACAUCGCACUUCCGCUCGGGUCGAGGCUGCCACUCGGCCCUCAGACGGAUCAAAGAAGAGUGGGGAACCUCUCGCUGGUUUUUGGAAUUCGACAUCAGGAAGUGUUUUCACACCAUCCACCGACAUCGAUUCAUCUCAAUCUUGAAGGAAGAGAUCGACGAUUCCAAGUUCUUAUACCCCACUCAGAAAAAGUUUUCCGCCGGACGACUCGUAGGGGGUGAGAAGGGCCCUGACUCCAUCCCAAACAGUGUACUACUAUCGGCCCUACCAGGCAAUAUCUACCUACACAAGCUCGAUCAGGAGAUAGGGAGGAUCCGGCAGAAGCACGAAAUUCCUCUUGUAGUGAAAAUAAGAUCGGUUCUAUUAAGAAUAGGUCGUCGUAUUGAUGACCAAGAAAAGUAUGGAAAAGAAGCAAGCUUCAACGCUCCCCAAGACAACAGAGCCCUCAUAGUGGGGAGGGUAAAUAGCAUCCAACGCAAAGCGACCUUUCAUUCCCUUGUUUCGUCAUGGCACACCCCCCCCCUCCACAAGCACCCCCAGGCGAAGGGGAGACCAGAAAACGCCUUUCGUUUUCCCCCCUUCAGCGGCCCUAGCCGCCUUCCUUAA
rnacentral:rRNA from 1 species